UACAGAGGUCUCAAGCGUUGUUCGGAUUCAUUGGGCGUAAAGGGUGCGUAGGUGGCGCCAUAAGUCAGGUGUGAAAUCUCGGGGCUCAACCCCGAAACUGCACUUGAUACUGUGGUGCUCGAGUACUGGAGAGGAGAUUGGAAUUUACGGUGUAGCAGUGAAAUGCGUAGAUAUCGGAAGGAACAUCAGUGGCGAAAGCGACUUCCUGGACCAGUACCGACGUUCAGGCACGAAAGCGUGGGGAGCAAACAGG
rnacentral:rRNA from 1 species